rnacentral:SRP_RNA from 1 species
GCUGGGCGUGGUGGCUCACGCCUGUAAUCCUAGCAGUUUGGGAGGCCGAGAUGGGCGGAUCACCCGAGGUCAGGAGUUCGAGACCAGCCUGACCAACAUGGAGAAACCCCAUCUCUA